rnacentral:lncRNA from 1 species
UUUUAGAGUCUUUCUUUGUUGCUCAGGCUGGAGUGCAGUGGUACAAUCUUGGCUCGCUGCAACUCCACUUCCCAGGUUCAAGCGAUUCUCCUGCCUCAGCCUUCGGAGUAGCUGGGAUUAGAGGCAUCUACCACCAUGCCUGGCUGGUGUUGAACUCCUUACCUCAAGUGAUCUGCCCACCUUGGCCUCACAAAGUCCUGGGAUUACAGGCAUGAGCCACCGUGCCUGGCCCAGAGUCCAAUCUUAAAAUAAGGUUUGGCAUAAGAAUUUGCCCUUAGAUUAUUGGUUUGCCCUUUUUUUUUUUUAAUUUUUUGAGACAGGGUCUCACUGUUUCACCCAGCUGUAACACCCAGCUAAUUUUUUAAAAUUUUUAGUAGAGAUGGGGUUUUACCAUGUUGGCCAGGCUGGUCUCGAACUCCUGGCGUCAAGUGAUCCGCCUGCCUCGGCCUCCCAAAGUGCUGGGAUUACAGGUGUGAGCCACCGUGCCCGGCCAGAGAUUGGUCUUAAAAUGCCAUGACAGUCAGCAUUAAUUGGAGAGAGAUAAUAUUGGCCCAAAUGCUGCCUCUUCAAAUCCAAAAUCCAUUUUGGGGAGUGGAGAGGGAGACUAACAUUGGUUGUAUGUGUGCAUGCAUGUAUAUGUAUGUGCGUGUGUGUGUGUACAAGCUAAUCACCUAUCAAACAUAAUGCUGGGUACAUUCGCAUCUUUAUUUUCAUAGUUAUUGUUACUGUCAUGGCUGUUUCAAUUGGUUGAGGACCUGCUGUGCACUUCACAUCAUUCCACAAAGCCCUACAGUGAUCAUGGUUCUAUACACAAGGAAAGGAAGGCAGAGAAAUUAGACAACUUACUCAAUGUCAAAUGUCAGUAAGAUACAGAAUCCCAAUCUAAACUCAGGUGUCUCUGGCCCAAAGCCUGUGAUCUGUCCCUAUUUUGUAUUGCUUCAUAAAAGUGCAAUCCACUGACCAACAAUCAAGCCCAGACCGAUACUCCCUGGGCCCAACUAGUGCGGACCAGGUGGAUUGGAACUUCCCUGCAGUGCCAGAGGAAAUAGCAAUAGAGGUAUCUGAGCUCUUUGGAUUAAAGAUAAUGGAACAUAGGAGGGACUCUCCAGAGCUUUUUGUCCUACCUUGAAUCUCAGACCUCUAGAAAGAAACUUUGGGUGCUAUACUGAUUCAAUUGUAUCCUUUUCAUUACACUUUUAUAAUAUAUAUUAUUAAAAAUAUAGGCCAGGUGCAG